GCAUGGCUGAAUUCUGCUUAAUCGUGCAGUGGUUCUUGCAGUCAGACACCAUGCUAAAGAAAAUUUCUUGGUGCUGUUUAUGGUGGCAUCUUCAUGUUGUCUUCCACAGUCCAACAAAGUGUACAC
ensembl:snoRNA